CGGGGAAUAUUGCACAAUGGGCGCAAGCCUGAUGCAGCCAUGCCGCGUGUAUGAGGAAGGCCUUCGGGUUGUAAAGUACUUUCAGCGAGGAGGAAGGUGUUGUGGUUAAUAACCGCAGCAAUUGACGUUACUCGCAGAAGAAGCACCGGCUAACUCCGUGCCAGCAGCCGCGGUAAUACGGAGGGUGCAAGCGUUAAUCGGAAUUACUGGGCGUAAAGCGCACGCAGGCGGUCUGUCAAGUCGGAUGUGAAAUCCCCGGGCUCAACCUGGGAACUGCAUCCGAAACUGGCAGGCUAGAGUCUUGUAGAGGGGGGUAGAAUUCCAGGUGUAGCGGUGAAAUGCGUAGAGAUCUGGAGGAAUACCGGUGGCGAAGGCGGCCCCCUGGACAAAGACUGACGCUCAGGUGCGAAAGCGUGGGGAGCAAACA
rnacentral:rRNA from 1 species